rnacentral:rRNA from 1 species
UACGGAGGAUGCGAGCGUUAUCCGGAAUGAUUGGGCGUAAAGCGUCCGCAGGUGGCUAUGUAAGUCUGCUGUUAAAGAGUCUGGCUCAACCAGAUAAAGGCAGUGGAAACUACAUGGCUAGAGUGCGUUCGGGGCAGAGGGAAUUCCUGGUGUAGCGGUGAAAUGCGUAGAGAUCAGGAAGAACACCGGUGGCGAAAGCGCUCUGCUAGGCCGCAACUGACACUGAGGGACGAAAGCUAGGGGAGCGAAUGGG